GGCGGCACGCCUUAUACAUGCAAGUCGAACGAAGUAGCAAUACUUAGUGGCAGACGGGUGAGUAACAUGUAGGUAUCUUCCCUUUGGUGAGGAAUAACACGAGGAAACUUGUGCUAAUACCUCAUAAGUCUUUACGGAGAAAGCUUUAUGCGCCGAAGGAUGAGCCUGCAUUUGAUUAGUUUGUUGGUGGGGUAAUGGCCUACCAAGACUUUGAUCAAUAGCUGAUCUGAGAGGAUGAUCAGCCACAUUGGGACUGAGACACGGCCCAAACUCCUACGGGAGGCAGCAGUAGGGAAUAUUGCACAAUGGAGGAAACUCUGAUGCAGCGAUGCCGCGUGAGUGAAGAAGGCCUUUGGGUUGUAAAGCUCUUUCGUCGGGGAAGAAAAUGACUGUACCCGAAUAAGAAGGUCCGGCUAACUUCGUGCCAGCAGCCGCGGUAAUACGAAGGGACCUAGCGUAGUUCGGAAUUACUGGGCUUAAAGAGUUCGUAGGUGGUUAAAAAAGUUGGUGGUGAAAUCCCAGAGCUUAACUCUGGAACUGCCAUCAAAACUUUUUAGCUAGAGUAUGAUAGAGGAAAGCAGAAUUUCUAGUGUAGAGGUGAAAUUCGUAGAUAUUAGAAAGAAUACCAAUUGCGAAGGCAGCUUUCUGGAUCAUUACUGACACUGAGGAACGAAAGCAUGGGUAGCGAAGAGGAUUAGAUACCCUCGUAGUCCAUGCCGUAAACGAUGUGUGUUAGACGUUGGAAAUUUAUUUUCAGUGUCGCAGCGAAAGCAUUAAACACACCGCCUGGGGAGUACG
rnacentral:rRNA from 1 species